UCAAUUUUGAUCCCUUUGCUGCAAGGAAGAAUUCUAUUAUUUCGUUUUGGGACAUAUGUCAAUAAAAUACUCUUGACGAUCU